GAUGAACGCUGGCGGCGUGCUUAACACAUGCAAGUCGAACGAAGCACUUUAUUUGAUUUCCUUCGGGACUGAUUAUUUUGUGACUGAGUGGCGGACGGGUGAGUAACGCGUGGGUAACCUGCCUUGUACAGGGGGAUAACAGUUGGAAACGGCUGCUAAUACCGCAUAAGCGCACAGCAUCGCAUGAUGCAGUGUGAAAAACUCCGGUGGUAUAAGAUGGACCCGCGUUGGAUUAGCUAGUUGGUGAGGUAACGGCCCACCAAGGCGACGAUCCAUAGCCGGCCUGGGAGGGUGACCGGACACAUUGGGACUGAGACACGGCCCAAACUCCUACGGGAGGCAGCAGUGGGGAAUAUUGCACAAUGGGCGAAAGCCUGAUGCAGCGACGCCGCGUGAGCGAAGAAGUAUUUCGGUAUGUAAAGCUCUAUCAGCAGGGAAGAUAAUGACGGUACCUGACUAAGAAGCACCGGCUAAAUACGUG
rnacentral:rRNA from 1 species